UACGGAGGGGGCUAGCGUUGUUCGGAAUUACUGGGCGUAAAGCGCGCGUAGGCGGCUUUGUAAGUUAGAGGUGAAAGCCCGAAGCUCAACUUCGGAAUUGCCUUUAAGACUGCAUCGCUAGAAUCGUGGAGAGGUAAGUGGAAUUCCGAGUGUAGAGGUGAAAUUCGUAGAUAUUCGGAAGAACACCAGUGGCGAAGGCGACUUACUGGACACGUACUGACGCUGAGGUGCGAAAGCGUGGGGAGCAAACAGG
rnacentral:rRNA from 1 species